GACACCGAAGUAGAAGAAAGAAAUGCCUUUCCCAAUGCCCUUGCUAUGUAUGGUCUUUCCAGGUCCAUUUUCUGUUUCAGUUUAAUGAUGCCGUUUAAGGAGAGCCAUGCACUCUCUGGAUCUAUAUUCAGACUGCAGAAGUAUCAGUCCAGCCACCCUUUCAGAUCUACUUCAAGGAAACACAGGCUUGAAAACUGCUCCCCGUGGUUUUGUCUGAACUGCUCACAUCCUGCAGCACACACUGGGUCCAGUGCUGGAGCCAGGAACCUAGAGGUGAGCGAGCAUCGAGCAGCACUUAGCAGAGUGAGGCAGGCGGGCCUAUGAGAAAGGAUGGAGAGGCAGGGAAGUUGAAGCUGCGGUAGUGAGAAGCUGAAGGGAACUUUGACCGCCUGCUUCUAGAGUUGUUGGUUACUAUAGAGGUUAGAUGUUUGCACAAAUUUAAGUUCUCUGGUCUACUUUGAAAAGAUCCAAAUAAGAUAUACUGCUGCCUGAACUGGGUCAGACAGCCACAGGUGCUUCAAACCACCUUUUAUACCACUCUGGUUGGAAAUAGAACCAUUGGAGACUCAUCUUGUUACCUUCAGCAAAAAUGGAAACAAAUCAAGACUUUGAGAAUGCCAGUGGUCAGCAAAAGCUUGUUAAUAAAGCUUGUAGAGGAAGUCUCCCAGACAGUAUGCCUCCCUUGCCUAAAAUCCAUAGCAGUUGAAGUCACCCCUGUCUCAGCUGCUCCUUAAUCAAUACAACCCCUCCAAAUUGAUGUGUACUGAGACAUGCAUUGGCUUUCAAGUUAUAUGAGUGCUUACUAUAUACAAGUCACUGUACAAAAGAUGGGAGAGAAUGCCAGGGCCAAAAAGUGGGAGUGGGUGGGUAGGGGAGUGGGGGGGAGGGUAUGAGGGACUUUUGGGAUAGCAUUGGAAAUGUAAAUGGGGAAAAUACCUAAUACAAAUAUUAAAAAAAAAAAAAGAAAAAAAAAAAGAAAAUGAAGAGACAGCUAAGGCCCAGGGCCUGCCUACAAUGAUACCACAAUUACCUUCAGGAUACACAUUUCUUUCUUCUGUUCAUAAUUAAAAUUUUCUCCAAUGCAAAACACAAAUGAAUAGAAUCUGUAAAUAUUUUAAGUUUCAUUAAUGAGAAUCAAAAUAGGACAUAAUACAACAACAGCAAACCAAUCUGAGAAAUUCAAGGCAUUUUAAUCCUUUACUGUUGUGGAAACUAUUGUGGAUGCCAACAAGUGCUUGCUGACAGGAGUCUGAUAUAGCUAUCUCCUGAGAGGUUCUACCAGAGCUUGACAAGUACAGAGGCAGAUGCUCUCAGCCACCACUGGACUGAGCACAGGGUCCCUAAUGGAGGAGUUAGAGAAAGGACUGAAGGAGCUGAAGGGGUUUGCUACCCCAUAGGAAGAACAACAAUAUCAACCAACCAGAAUGGCCAGAGGUCCCAGGGACUAAACCACCAACCAUGGUACACAUGGAGAGACCCAUGGCUCUAGCCACAUAUGUAGUAGAGGAUGGCCUUGUUGUGCAUCAAUGGGAGGAGUGGCCCUUGGUCCUGUGAGGGCUGGAUGCUCCAGUGUAGGGGAAUGCCAGGGCUGGGAGGCAAGAGUGGGUGGGUGGGUGGGGGAACACCAUCAUAGAAGCAGAGGGAGUGGGGGAUGAAGUAGGGUGUUUCAGAGCAGAGGAACCGGGAAAGGGGAUAACAUUUGAAAUA